CACAUGCAAGUCGAGGGGCAGCAUGAGACGGAGUAUUCGUCGAAGUUCUUGAUGGCGACCGGCGCGAAGGGUGCGUAACGCGUGAGCAACUUCGUCCCGUUUUCGUGGGAAUACCGGUAGGAAACGCCGACUAAUACCCCAUAGUAUUGAGUUUAGGCAUCUUUACUCAAUUAAAAAAUUUAUUGCUUACAGAUGGGCAUGCGUAUGAUUAGCUAGUUGGCGGGGUAACGGCCCACCAAGGCGACGAUCAUUAGGGGUUCUGAGAGGAAGGUCCCCCACAUUGGAACUGAGACACGGUCCAAACUCCUACGGGAGGCAGCAGUGAGGAAUAUUGGUCAAUGGACGCAAGUCUGAACCAGCCAUGUCGCGUGAAGGAUGACUGUCCUAUGGAUUGUAAACUUCUUUUAUAUGGGGAUAAAGUGUGAGACUUGUCUCAUUUUGCAUGUACCAUAUGAAUAAGCAUCGGCUAACUCCGUG
rnacentral:rRNA from 1 species